rnacentral:rRNA from 1 species
UACUGUGAGGUAUGCUGGAGGUAUCAGAAGUGCGAAUGCUGACAUAAGUAACGAUAAAGCGGGUGAAAAGCCCGCUCGCCGGAAGACCAAGGGUUCCUGUCCAACGUUAAUCGGGGCAGGGUGAGUCGACCCCUAAGGCGAGGCCGAAAGGCGUAGUCGAUGGGAAACAGGUUAAUAUUCCUGUACUUGGUGUUACUGCGAAGGGGGGACGGAGAAGGCUAUGUUGGCCGGGCGACGGUUGUCCCGGUUUAAGCGUGUAGGCUGGUUUUCCAGGCAAAUCCGGAAAAUCAAGGCUGAGGCGUGAUGACGAGGCACUACGGUGCUGAAGCAACAAAUGCCCUGCUUCCAGGAAAAGCCUCUAAGCAUCAGGUAACAUCAAAUCGUACCCCAAACCGACACAGGUGGUCAGGUAGAGAAUACCAAGGCGCUUGAGAGAACUCGGGUGAAGGAACUAGGCAAAAUGGUGCCGUAACUUCGGGAGAAGGCACGCUGAUAUGUAGGUGAAGUCCCUCGCGGAUGGAGCUGAAAUCAGUCGAAGAUACCAGCUGGCUGCAACUGUUUAUUAAAAACACAGCACUGUGCAAACACGAAAGUGGACGUAUACGGUGUGACGCCUGCCCGGUGCCGGAAGGUUAAUUGAUGGGGUCAGCGCAAGCGAAGCUCUUGAUCGAAGCCCCGGUAAACGGCGGCCGUAACUAUAACGGUCCUAAGGUAGCGAAAUUCCUUGUCGGGUAAGUUCCGACCUGCACGAAUGGCGUAAUGAUGGCCAGGCUGUCUCCACCCGAGACUCAGUGAAAUUGAACUCGCUGUGAAGAUGCAGUGUACCCGCGGCAAGACGGAAAGACCCCGUGAACCUUUACUAUAGCUUGACACUGAACAUUGAGCCUUGAUGUGUAGGAUAGGUGGGAGGCUUUGAAGUGUGGACGCCAGUCUGCAUGGAGCCGACCUUGAAAUACCACCCUUUAAUGUUUGAUGUUCUAACGUGGACCCGUGAUCCGGGUUGCGGACAGUGUCUGGUGGGUAGUUUGACUGGGGCGGUCUCCUCCUAAAGAGUAACGGAGGAGCACGAAGGUUGGCUAAUCCUGGUCGGACAUCAGGAGGUUAGUGCAAUGGCAUAAGCCAGCUUGACUGCGAGCGUGACGGCGCGAGCAGGUGCGAAAGCAGGUCAUAGUGAUCCGGUGGUUCUGAAUGGAAGGGCCAUCGCUCAACGGAUAAAAGGUACUCCGGGGAUAACAGGCUGAUACCGCCCAAGAGUUCAUAUCGACGGCGGUGUUUGGCACCUCGAUGUCGGCUCAUCACAUCCUGGGGCUGAAGUAGGUCCCAAGGGUAUGGCUGUUCGCCAUUUAAAGUGGUACGCGAGCUGGGUUUAGAACGUCGUGAGACAGUUCGGUCCCUAUCUGCCGUGGGCGCUGGAGAACUGAGGGGGGCUGCUCCUAGUACGAGAGGACCGGAGUGGACGCAUCACUGGUGUUCGGGUUGUCAUGCCAAUGGCACUGCCCGGUAGCUAAAUGCGGAAGAGAUAAGUGCUGAAAGCAUCUAAGCACGAAACUUGCCCCGAGAUGAGUUCUCCCUGACCCUUUAAGGGUCCUGAAGGAACGUUGAAGACGACGACGUUGAUAGGCCGGGUGUGUAAGCGCAGCGAUGCGUUGAGCUAACCGGUACUAAUGAACCGUGAGGCUUAACCUUACAACGCCGAAGGUGUUU